CAUCUACAGGCAAUUGAGUUAGUAGGUUUGUAGGAAUUUUUUCGUGGUUAGCCUAAUGUCUGCGGGCGAUGUUUUCUUUCUUUCUCAUGCUUUGAUAUUCAUUAAGUUUGUUUAGCCUAACGCUGUUACGCAUAUUUCUUUCGGUUUCCCUUUUAAGAAAUACAGAGGAAAAAAAAGACAAAAAAAAAAAAAUUUAAUAAAUAAAUAAAAAGAGCAGCGUUCUGUACUUCAGGGUUUCCAGCGGCGGCAACGCGGGUAGAAUGUUUCUUUGUCCAAACAGCUGUUUUUGGUCAUUUCUUUCGUCUCCCGUAUUUGAUAAAUAUACAGAUGUUUAUAUUCUUUCAAUUUACUUCAGGCGCGUUGUAAUCGGUCACGUGACAAUAACAAACAAAACAGUAGAAUAGAGCGCUUGACCAUCAUUAGCCUAUUGUUACGGAAGGGGAAAUAUAAGACGACGAAAAGAUAUAGUCCAUCAAACAUAUAGCUUUCAAGCGUUAUUAUUACAACCCCAUAGAAAAAGAGAGAGAAAGAGAGUGACAUACACACACACAAAAAAAAUUACUGCUGAAUAACUUGGGGGAACAAAAUCCAAAUUCUAAAUUUGCAUCUUCUUUCCCUUUUCCAAUGAACGAUAUUUCUUCGCUACGGUUUCUUUCUUAGAUUUAUAAUAAUAAAGUUUAAUAACAAUAGAACACUAUCGAGAGACGAACACGGCGUGUGUGUAAAAGUGUGUGGGCCGAUCUGCUGCGCUGCAACGAACGGAUUUUUUUGUUUUUCUUAAUUUUUGUUUGGAGACGAGAAAAAUAUUGCAAAAUGCGGCACGUACUACGUCAGCUUUGAAAGAGAGAAAGAGAACACAUUUUGGAAAGAGAGAUUGAAGAAAACGGAGGGAAAAGAGAAACGAACACGCGCAAUAAUACAAAGACUUCGGUUGGUUCUUUUUUUUUCCAAUUUUUUUUUUUUUCUUUUUUCUCUUAAAUGGUGGUUGAAGAUGAUGGAGAAAGUGUACUAGAAAAGAAGAAGAAAACCAAAUAAAUUGAGCUCUAUUGGAUGUAUAUAUAUCGACCUUUUUGCUCUCUUUGCGCCGUCCUACCUAGAUCCAUUUUUAAUCUACCUCACAUCAUUUUUCUGUACAUCUAAUAUUAGAAUUCUUUAACGUCAUUUUCAAAUAUAGCCUCAAUAUAAACGUACUUUUAAAAAAAUUAUCAAUCCGCCACCACAUCACGCGAAAUGUUUUGACUGUUGAAAAACAAAAUAACUGGAACGGAGCAAAAAUGAAAAAAAAAAAAAAAGGAGAAACUAGAGAAGAGUGGAAAGAGAAAGGGUUCUGUGUGUGUAUGUGUACGUGUGUGUAUACAUAUAUACGUGGUAUGUGUGUGUGUAAAAAAAACCGGGAGGGAAGGAGCGAGGAUACAGUUGAUUGAGCAGAUUGUACAAAUGUGACCAAAGAGUUAUUAUAACUAUUUUUUUUUCUUAAUUUUUUUUUUUUUUUUACUGUCUG